rnacentral:rRNA from 1 species
CCUACGGGUGGCAGCAGUGAGGAAUAUUGGUCAAUGGACGAGAGUCUGAACCAGCCAAGUAGCGUGAAGGAUGACUGCUCUAUGGGUUGUAAACUUCUUUUAUAAAGGAAUAAAACGAGGCACGUGUGCCUUUUUGCAUGUACUUUAUGAAUAAGGAUCGGCUAACUCCGUGCCAGCAGCCGCGGUAAUACGGAGGAUCCGAGCUUUAUCCGGAUUUAUUGGGUUUAAAGGGAGCGUAGAUGGGUUGUUAAGUCCGUUGUGAAAGGUUGCGGCUCAACCGUAAAAUUGCAAUUGAUACUGGCAGUCUUGAGUACAGUUGAGGUAGGCGGAAUUCGUGGUGUAGCGGUGAAAUGCUUAGAUAUCACGAAGAACCCCGAUUGCGAAGGCAGCUUACUAAACUGUGACUGACAUUGAUGCUCGAAAGUGUGGGUAUCAAACAGGAUUAGAUACCCUUGUAGUC